GUCAGAGCCAUAUCUCCUUCUCGCCUGGUUUCCCACUGAAACUAAGCAGGGUUGAGCCUGGCCAGUACCUGGAUGGGAGACCUCCUGGGAAAAACUAAGGUUGCUGCUGGAG
rnacentral:rRNA from 1 species